UUCCAAUGUCAUCCCCAACAGCGUGUGUGAUGACAUGCCUGGCAGAAAAAGAAGUAGAGUACGAACUUGUCAAUGUUGACCUUUCCAAAGGAGAACACAAGUUCCCAGCUUAUCUCGCCAAAAAUCCAUUUGGUCAGAUACCAGUUUUGGAAGAUGGAUCUGUCACACUUUUUGAAUCUCGUGCACUUACCCGAUACAUAGCCC